rfam:Myotis davidii contig102325, whole genome shotgun sequence.
GGUAGUUCUCGGUUGAUGCACCCUGGAAUCGGGCUCCCUCCUCACUGGUUUCUGGUGCUUCACCUGAGAACCGCA